rnacentral:rRNA from 1 species
GACGAACGCUGGCGGCGUGCUUAACACAUGCAAGUCGAACGCUGAAGCCCAGCUUGCUGGGUGGAUGAGUGGCGAACGGGUGAGUAACACGUGAGUAACCUGCCCCCUUCUUUGGGAUAACGCCCGGAAACGGGUGCUAAUACUGGAUAUUCACUGGCCUUCGCAUGGGGGUUGGUGGAAAGGUUUUUUCUGGUGGGGGAUGGGCUCCCCUUCUAUCAGCUUGUUGGUGGGGUGAUGGCCUACCAAGGCUUUGACGGCGGCUGCUGGCACGUAGGUGACCGGUCCUUUUGGGUCUGAUACCGUCAUUAUACUCCUUUCCAGGUGCAGUGGGGAAUAUUGCACAAUGGGGGAAAGCGGAUGCAUGACUCCUCGUGAGGGAUGACGGCCUUCGUCUUGUAUGCUCCUUCUCAAGAACAAGCCACAGCUUUGGGUUGUGGUGAGGGGGUGGUGCAUCAAGCCCGGUGAGUCCUAGUUCCCUCGGAAGGCCGUUACCCUUCCACCUCUUGGUUAGCAGGCACCCCCCCCUCUAACUGAUACAUCUUUUGUCCAUCUGGUAUGUGUGCAAGUGCUCUUUUGAAGCAAAUGUCAUGCAAUUGCAAACGGUAUCCCCCUGUAGCAGAUCGGGUUGAAUAGUUAUCACUCCGCUACUAGGCACUUUCCCUACUACUUUCCUCCCCCGAUGGAAACUCACGCAGAAUCACGAUGCCCUUCCCUUCAGCGAAUCAACUCGCCCGGCGUAGGCCCGCAGCCAUAG